UGGAAUCCCGAUGCUCCCCCAGGGAAUGUGGGAUGAGUUUGCUCAUAAGAAGGGAGAAGAGAAAAUCAAUUCAGCUCAUUGCUGUGUCUGCUCCACGUGCCAGAGGCUUUCAUCGGGAUCAGGUGCUCCAGCUGCCUUUGGAUGUAUGGAUAUUCCUUGGGAAGCAGCCCCAUUGGCAGCCAGGGCUGGUGGGAUUCUCUCACUGGCACAACUGGCUCCGCAUCCAUGUUUGCUCCAUGCCCAUGGGAGGGGGUUGGGGAGUGAAGCCCAAGUUGUGGAUGCUCCAUUGGGAUGAAGCCAUCCUCUAUCCCCACGUUGGCUUCAUCUUUACCCACCAAUCCAUUCGGGAACACACAGCAUUCCCAUUUCACCACUUCUCCCACCGUGGUGCCAACAGGAGCAUUGGAGAGGCUUCCACAUGGUGUUGUUCCAGCAUGGCACUAACCUUCCUCCUGGCAAUUCCCAGCAAGGGCUCAUCCCAGAAUGUGCCACUCCAGUGCAGGGAAAGGCACAGGGCAGAACUGGGAUCCAGGGCUGGGAAAGCCAAUGUGGAGUUUCCCCUUAAUCCCAUCUCAAUCCAAGUGGAGAUCCCGACUCAUUCCCAAUCCAGGGGGGAUCCAUCAGGGUGGAAAACACCCCAGAAAGGGUUUACAUUUAAAACCUGCAUUUGGGGGAACUGUGGCUUUGAUCUGAGCCAAGUCCAGGCCAGAAUCCAUUGGGAGAAUCCCACUGGAAGCUUCCCCCUCGUUUCCCCAGCACUGAACCCCUGCACACAUCCAGCACCUUUGCUCCCCACAGCACAUCCCACAGCAGCAGAGCCACAUUCCUCACCCCAGGAAUGACACCAAACCCUUGGAAUCAGACACAGCAUCACCCACAAAGCACAGACCUGGGGGUGGGGAUGACAUCAGUGUCACCCCCCCACCUUGCUCCAUAGAUUUCCUCAGGUUUUCCCUUUGAUCCUUCCCAAACCAUGUGCUGGGCCAGCCCUUCCCAAACCCCACCGGGGGGGGGGG
rnacentral:lncRNA from 14 species